AAGAUACUAGUAUAAUAAGAAAUACACUGCUUUGUCAAGGCAGAAUUGCUGGUUAAACCCCUGCGUAACUUA
rnacentral:tRNA from 1 species